rnacentral:rRNA from 1 species
ACAUCCAGAGAAUUUAGCAGAGAUGCUUUAGUGCCUUCGGGAACUCUGAGACAGGGUGCUGCAUGGCUGUCGUCAGCUCGUGUUGUGAAAUGUUGGGUUAAGUCCCGNAACGAGCGCAACCCUUAUCCUUUGUUGCCAGCACGUAAUGGUGGGAACUCAAAGGAGACUGCCGGUGAUAAACCGGAGGAAGGUGGGGAUGACGUCAAGUCAUCAUGGCCCUUACGAGUAGGGCUACACACGUGCUACAAUGGCGCAUACAAAGAGAAGCGACCUCGCGAGAGCAAGCGGACCUCAUAAAGUGCGUCGUAGUCCGGAUUGGAGUCUGCAACUCGACUCCAUGAAGUCGGAAUCGCUAGUAAUCGUAAAUCAGAAUGUUACGGUGAAUACGUUCCCGGGCCUUGUACACACCGCCCGUCACACCAUGGGAGUGGGUUGCAAAAGAAGUAGAUAGCUUAACCUUCGGGAGGGCGUUUACCACUUUGUGAUUCAUGACUGGGGUGAAGUCGUAACAAGGUAAGCGUAGUGCU